GCAUCAGUGGUCUAACGGUUAUGAUGCGACCUUCCCAUCGGUAUAGUUUAGAUUUGAGGCUUAGGUCGCGAACGGGGUUCGACUCCCCGCUGAUGCA